UACGGAGGGAGCUAGCGUUGUUCGGAAUUACUGGGCGUAAAGCGCACGUAGGCGGCUUUGUGAGUUAGAGGUGAAAGCCUGGGGCUCAACCCCAGAAUUGCCUUUAAGACUGCAUCGCUUGAAUCCGGGAGAGGUGAGUGGAAUUCCGAGUGUAGAGGUGAAAUUCGUAGAUAUUCGGAAGAACACCAGUGGCGAAGGCGGCUCACUGGACCGGUAUUGACGCUGAGGUGCGAAAGCGUGGGGAGCAAACAGG
rnacentral:rRNA from 1 species